rnacentral:rRNA from 1 species
GCGGUGAAAUGCGUAGAGAUGUGGAGGAACACCAGUGGCGAAGGCGACUCUCUGGUCUGUAACUGACGCUGAGGAGCGAAAGCGUGGGGAGCGAACAGGAUUAGAUACCCUGGUAGUCCACGCCGUAAACGAUGAGUGCUAAGUGUUAGGGGGUUUCCGCCCCUUAGUGCUGCAGCUAACGCAUUAAGCACUCCGCCUGGGGAGUACGGUCGCAAGACUGAAACUCAAAGGAAUUGACGGGGGCCCGCACAAGCGGUGGAGCAUGUGGUUUAAUUUGAAGCAACGCGAAGAACCUUACCAGGUCUUGACAUCCUCUGACAACCCUAGAGAUAGGGCUUUCCCUUCGGGGACAGAGUGACAGGUGGUGCAUGGUUGUCGUCAGCUCGUGUCGUGAGAUGUUGGGUUAAGUCCCGCAACGAGCGCAACCCUUGAUCUUAGUUGCCAGCAUUCAGUUGGGCACUCUAAGGUGACUGCCGGUGACAAACCGGAGGAAGGUGGGGAUGACGUCAAAUCAUCAUGCCCCUUAUGACCUGGGCUACACACGUGCUACAAUGGACAGAACAAAGGGCUGCAAGACCGCAAGGUUUAGCCAAUCCCAUAAAUCUGUUCUCAGUUCGGAUCGCAGUCUGCAACUCGACUGCGUGAAGCUGGAAUCGCUAGUAAUCGCGGAUCAGCAUGCCGCGGUGAAUACGUUCCCGGGCCUUGUACACACCGCCC